rnacentral:rRNA from 1 species
GACGUAGGGCGCGAGCGUUGUCCGGAAUUAUUGGGCGUAAAGAGCUCGUAGGCGGUUUGUUGCGUCGGCUGUGAAAUCCCGAGGCUCAACCUCGGGUCUGCAGUCGAUACGAGCAAACUAGAGUGUUGCAGGGGAGACUGGAAUUCCUGGUGUAGCGGUGAAAUGCGCAGAUAUCAGGAGGAACACCGGUGGCGAAGGCGGGUCUCUGGGCAACAACUGACGCUGGAGGAGCGAAAAGCGUGGGGAGCGAACAGG